UUUUAAGAAUGUUUCCCUUUUCUUCAAGCAUUCUCUCUUUUGCUUCUUUGCCCUAUUACCCUUCCAUCUCAAACUCAUAUUCUUGAUCCUUGACUUGUGGAACAGAAGAUACUUAAUUCGGUAGGGAUUCAAGAGUGCUUUUAAUAUUUUGGGAGUGCAAACGAGUGGUUUAGGGUUUCUCCGUGAACUUGGCGUCUUGCAUAGAGGAUCACCAACUCCAACUCAGGUUCUAAACAGGCUUUGUUGCUAGAUGCCUUUUACUAACAAGAGAGGUGAUGAUAUUUAUAAGCACAACAUGGAGAUAUUUCUGGAAUGUUCUUGUUGUUACACCACAAAGACUAUAUGUUACUUCUGCAAUUAAGUGGAUUUUAUUUACAUUGAAAACAACAAAAAGCUGAGGAGAGAGAGAAAAUUAAGAGGAUUUUAUAUUUU